rnacentral:rRNA from 1 species
UACGUAGGGGGCAAGCGUUGUCCGGAUUCAUUGGGCGUAAAGAGCGUAUAGGCGGCCAGGCAGGUCCGCUGUGAAAACUCGAGGCUCAACCUCGAGAUGUCGGUGGAAACCGUCUGGCUAGAGUCCGGAAGAGGAGAGUGGAAUUCCCGGUGUAGCGGUGAAAUGCGCAGAUAUCGGGAAGAACACCAGUGGCGAAGGCGGCUCUCUGGGACGGUACUGACGCUGAGACGCGAAAGCGUGGGGAGCGAACAGG